CACGUAGAAGGCUAGUGUUAUUCAUCUUUAUUAGGUUUAAAGGGUAGCUUAGAUCGGGAAAGUACAAGCCCAUAAAUUAGGGGACUAAUUUUCUAGAGUUUUAUGAGAGAAGGGGCGAAUUUCCGGAGGAAAGUUGAUAUUUUGUGAUACUGGAAGGACGGGUAACGGCGAAGGCAACCUUUUAUGUAAAAACUGACGUUGAGGGACGAAGCCUUGGGUAACGAGAAGG
rnacentral:rRNA from 1 species